UUAUGGCUCAGGAUGAACGCUGGCGGCGUGCCUAACACAUGCAAGUCGAGCGAUUACUUCGGUAAAGAGCGGCGGACGGGUGAGUAACGCGUGGGUAACCUGCCUCAUACACAUGGAUAACAUACCGAAAGGUAUGCUAAUACAGGAUAAUAUAAGAGAUUCACAUGGAUUUUUUAUCAAAGCUCCGGCGGUAUGAGAUGGACCCGCGUCUGAUUAGCUAGUUGGUAAGGUAAUGGCUUACCAAGGCGACGAUCAGUAGCCGACCUGAGAGGGUGAUCGGCCACAUUGGAACUGAGACACGGUCCAAACUCCUACGGGAGGCAGCAGUGGGGAAUAUUGCACAAUGGGCGAAAGCCUGAUGCAAGCAACGCCGCGUGAGUGAUGAAGGCCUUCGGGUCGUAAAACUCUGUCCUCAAGGAAGAUAAUGACGGUACUUGAGGAGGAAGCCCCGGCUAACUACGUGCCAGCAGCAGC
rnacentral:rRNA from 1 species